rnacentral:tRNA from 1 species
AAGUUUAUAGUUAAAUAUAACAUCCGUUUUGCUAUCGGAAGGUAAUGGUAACAACAUUUAAUCUUA